rnacentral:rRNA from 1 species
GAUGAACGCUGGCGGCGUGCCUAAUACAUGCAAGUCGAGCGAACAGACGAGGAGCUUGCUCCUCUGACGUUAGCGGCGGACGGGUGAGUAACACGUGGAUAACCUACCUAUAAGACUGGGAUAACUUCGGGAAACCGGAGCUAAUACCGGAUAAUAUAUUGAACCGCAUGGUUCAAUAGUGAAAGACGGUUUUGCUGUCACUUAUAGAUGGAUCCGCGCCGCAUUAGCUAGUUGGUAAGGUAACGGCUUACCAAGGCAACGAUGCGUAGCCGACCUGAGAGGGUGAUCGGCCACACUGGAACUGAGACACGGUCCAGACUCCUACGGGAGGCAGCAGUAGGGAAUCUUCCGCAAUGGGCGAAAGCCUGACGGAGCAACGCCGCGUGAGUGAUGAAGGUCUUCGGAUCUUAAAACUCUGUUAUUAGGGAAGAACAAAUGCGUAAGUAACUAUGCACGUCUUGACGGUACCUAAUCAGAAAGCCACGGCUAACUACGUG